rnacentral:rRNA from 1 species
AUACGGAGGGUGCAAGCGUUAUCCGGAUUUAUUGGGUUUAAAGGGUGCGUAGGCGGCUCUAUAAGUCAGUGGUGAAAUCAUCAGGCUCAACCUGAUACCUGCCAUUGAAACUGUAAAGCUUGAGUAUUAUCGACGCGGGAGGAAUGCGACAAGUAGCGGUGAAAUGCUUAGAUAUGUCGCAGAACACCGAUAGCGAAGGCAUCUCGCGAGGUAAUCACUGACGCUAAGGCACGAAAGCGUGGGUAGCAAACAGGAUUAGAUACCCUGGUAGUCCACGCCGUAAACGAUGAUAACUGGGUUUUUAAUGAAUAUCAUUAAGAGCCUGAGUGAAAGCAUUAAGUUAUCCACCUGGGGAGUACGUUCGCAAGUAUGAA